rnacentral:rRNA from 1 species
UACGUAGGGUGCGAGCGUUAAUCGGAAUUACUGGGCGUAAAGUGUGCGCAGGCGGCUUCGCAAGUCGAGUGUGAAAUCCCCGAGCUUAACUUGGGAAUUGCGCUCGAAACUACGGAGCUGGAGUGUGGCAGAGGAAGGUGGAAUUCCACGUGUAGCGGUGAAAUGCGUAGAGAUGUGGAGGAACACCAGUGGCGAAGGCGGCGAUCUGGGUCGAUACUGACGCUGAGGUGCGAAAGCGUGGGGAGCAAACAGG